rnacentral:misc_RNA from 1 species
UAAAGCAAUUCAUGUUUGACAAAAGCCAAGGAUAACUACUUGGCAUAGGGUCAGUUGAAGUCAGACGUCUGACAUUUCAUGUUCGUCAUUAAAUGAUACACCUUAUUGGGAAAAAAACAUUGUCAUUUGGUUCAAAAAAGGUGAUGUCAUCGGAGCACUUCUAAUGACUACUGGUGGUUAUCGAAUCUGUGAAGAAGAUCGUCGAAAUAUCCACAGCAAAGAUCUUUGUGGUAUCUGCAGCAACGUCCUAAAGACUGCGAUCCAGACAGAAUGUGGACAUCGUUAUUGUCUUGACUGUUUGGAAGAAGAGUUUAACAAGCAUAAUGGCGAAAUAAAAUGUAAAAUCUGCGACGAAAUCCUGACAAGAACGAAGAUAUUCAGAGACAAGUUCGCGGACCGUGAGAUACAGACUCUCAUUUUGUUCUGUAUUAACUGUAUUAUUGGGUGUAAAUGGAGAGGACAAUUAAGACAUCGACAGGUAGGUAUUUUAGAAUUGGAUUGC